AGGGAGAGGGAGAAGCAGGCUCCAUGCAGGGAGCCCGACGUGGGACUCGAUCCCGAGGUCCCCAGGAUCCCACCCCAGGCUGCAGGCGGCGCCAAACCGCUGCGCCACCAGGGCUGCCCGACAGCCAUCUUUUAAAUCAUCUAUGUGGGAUAGCCUUGCAAAGAUGCUGCCCCAUUUGCACAGUUCUCCGUGGAUACUCUUGAGAAGGCAGGCAUUAUUAAGUCAUCAUUCCCAGAAGGAGCUAUGAAACUGAAGUUAGAAGUAGCAGCUCAUUCUAUUUGGUAGAAGAGUUUCUGGAAGAAUUAAAUACGAAUUCCUUAUCCCUAAUCUAACCCAUCUCUGAAGGAAGGCAAAGACAGGUGCAGGAAGAGUAGAGGAAGGUAAGAGUGUCUUUGUACUGACUGUUUCUUAAGUAACUUUAAUUCAAAAGAAUUAAUAUGCCAAAGUGGUAUAUUUUGGGGCAGUGUCCCAGAAGCAC